rnacentral:lncRNA from 1 species
GUGCACUCACCAGUCCUCCAUCUGUAAGGGCAUACCCUUCUAUAGAAGUACCUUGCCCUGCUGAGAAUUAAAAAGAAAAUUUUAUAUUCGAGUGCUAUUUCUUUUGUGGCACCGAAACUUUACUUAUAACAAUUUGGGGGCUCAUCCGGGAUUACAUUCCCCUCCGGGGGUGGUCUCUGGUUCUCUCUUGUGAGGAGGUGCACCCCACCCCACUGUGGCGGCCUCAGGGGUGAGAAAUCAAGACCCACCCAGUGUGAAGAAUAACCUGAGCUCUCAGCUACAUGGAAAGAAACUGGCUAGCAACCUAGCUUAAAGCAUCCUCCAUAAGGGCCACACAAGUGUGUGCAUGGACCGAGGAAAAGACACCAUGGGAGCCGGUAAAGUAUUUCCUUGGUGGUUGGGAGCAAGGUAAGAAAGCCGUGGCAGGGGGUGGUGAAGUACUCCUUGGUCAGGGUGGCUUAGAGGUUAAAAAGAGGUGAGACAUCCCCAUUGGCAGGGACUGAACCUCACACAAACCUCCAGUAAUAGAAAAGGCAAGUAUGUUCCAGUGGUGGAAAUUGAACCUCACCCCGAAAGGCAAGAAAUUUCCAGUGGGGGGAAUUGAGCCUCACCCCAAAAGGUGAGAAAUUUCCAGUAAGGGAAAUUGAACCUUGAACUCUACCCCAAAACCAUCAAGAUGGGAAAUACCCCAAGCAAGACAGGGAGCAAGAAGGAUAAAGAUGGUAACAAAGAUAUCCCCCCAGAUAGCCCCCUAGGUCUCAUGCUAAAAUACUGGAAAGAUAAUGAAAGGAUAAUGAAAGGAUUAAACAUAGGAAAAAGCAACAAAUGAUAAAAUAUUGCUGUUUUAUUUGGACUCAGGGACCCAUCCUCAGACCCUCAAUCUUCUGGCCAAGGUUUGGAUCAAAUGAGGGUGUAAUGUGUCAGCUUCUAAUCUGAUACAUUAAUGAUAAAAGUCCAGUGUCCCAAGAAGAACUAGGCUAUGCCCUUUGUUGGAGGGAAGGACCUGCCCUUCUUUUUCCCUUAAAAACAGAUAGGGAAGAACCCAAUCUAGCACAUCAAAAUUAAAAGUCAGAGGAGCCAGCUCUCAUGCCUAAAGACUCCAGUGCAUGGGAUCCCCUAGACUAUCUUCCCCCAUUCAGUGUCCUCAGUCUUUCCCCUCAGACAGCCAUUGCCGCCUCAGAUCCCUUUCCAAAUUUCCCCUCUACUCACGUUGUCCCUCCUCCUUAUAACCCUGACUCUUGGGAAUUACUGUCCCACCAGCCUGUUCCCUCCCAACCUAAAUAUCCCUCUCCAAAAGGACUCUAGUGUGAGGUAGAACAAUGUAAAAAAGAUAUUCAGAAUUUCCCAUUUCUCUCUGUACCUAAGAGGUCAGCCCUGACCCUCUUCCCUUUGAAAGAGGUACCACGAGGUGGGGAGGGCCAUUGGCUUUGUAAAUGCUCCCUUAACCAGUUCAGAAGUCUGGAAUUUUAAAAAGGAGCUUAAACCACUACUAGAUGACCCUUAUGGAGUGGCAGACCAAACUGACCAAUUCUUAGGACCUCAGUUAUACACUUGGGUGGAGUUAAUGUCCAUCUUGGGCAUCCUCUUUUCAGGGGAAGAAAGGAGUAUGAUUCACAGGGCUGCUAUGGUAGUUUAGGAAUGUGAGCACCCUCCUGGUGAAAACUUUCCUACCGCAGACCAGAAAUUCCCUGCCCCUCGAGACCCCCAGUGGGACAAUAACGAUGCAGGUCACUGGGAAAAUAUGCAGGAACUAAGGGAGAUGAUAAUAAAAGGAAUUUGGGAAUCAGUACCCUGAACCCAAAAUCUUUCUAAAGCAUUUGUUAUACAACAGGAAAAGGAUGAAGGGCCUAUGAGAUUCCUAGACAGACUGAGGGAGCAAAUGAGGCAAUAUGCAGGCCUCAAUUUGGAUGAUCCCUUUGGGCAAGGAAUGUUGAAAUUCCAGUUUGUCACUAAAAGUUGGCCAGACACUUCAAAAAAGUUGCAAAAGAUAGACAAUUGGGAAGACCGUCUGCUAAGUGAGCUCCUCAGGGAAGCUCAGAAAGUAUAUGUGAAAAGGGAUGAAGAAAAACAGAAACAAAAGACAAAACUUAUGUUUUCCACCUUCCAACAGAUGGCUCCAAACCCAGGUACUUCUAGACAGAGUUUCCAGGGAGCCAGAAACUAUAAAGGGUCUAAACCCUAUUUUAAAGGACCCAGCCUCCAUCUGGAGGACCAAGGUCCAAGUUUACCAGGCCCCCUAAAGAGUAUGGGGGAGCAAAGUUAAAGAAUCCCAGAACUAAGAGGAAGGAAGGACAAGAUAAGUGCUAUAGAUGUGGAAGAACAGGCCACUUCAAGAGAGGAUGUCCUGAACUAAGAAAGGAGAAAGAAGCCCUUCCACUCAUGACUUUCAAGGAAGAAUAAGGGAGUCAGGGGCUCUGUCUCUUUUAUCUUGAGUCCCACCAGGAGCCCCUGAUAAAUUUGGAGGUGGGACCUAAACAUGAGCUUAUCACUUUUUUAGUUGAUUCAGGGGCUGCUCACUCCUCUGUUUGUUUCCCCUCGUCUAAUGUUGUCUCCUCCUCAGAGGAACUUUUAGUCUCCAGGGUAAAAGGGGAAGGGUUUAGAGCAAACAUUUUAGAAAGCACAGAAGUUAGAUACGAGGAUCACUCAGCUCAUAUUCAGUUCUUGUUAAUCCUUGAAGCAGGAACUAAUUUACUGGGGAGGGAUUUAAUGUUAAAGUUGGGCAUAGGUCUACAAGUCAGCCCAAGAGGAUUCCUCACUUCAUGAAACCUACCCACCAAUGCGGAUGAAAAAUAUAUUAAUCCUAAUGUCUGCCCAAAGAAGGAAACUGAGGGAAACUCCAAGUCCCUCUGAUCCACAUCAUGCUAAAAACCCCGGGAGAAGUAGUAAGAAGGAAGCAAUACCCUAUUCCCCUAGAAGGUAGGAUAGGGUUGAAACCUAUAAUCAAAGGCCUUAUUAAGGACAGGUUUCUCAAGCCCCGUAUGUCUCCAUAUAACACCCCAAUACUGCCAGUCAAGAACAGACGGGUCAUACCGGCUAGUACAGGACCUUAGAGCUAUCAACCAAAUAGUCCAGACUACCCACCCCAUUGUCCCCAGUCCUUACACCAUUCUUAGCAAGAUUCCAUAUAAUCAUCAAUGGUUUACUGUAAUAGAUUUGAAGGAUGCUUUUUGGGCAUGUCCCCUGGCUGAAGACAGCUGAUAUAUUUUGAAUGGGAGGAUCCCCACUCAGGGCGGAAACAACAAUAUCAAUGGAUGGUCUUGCCUCAAGGGUUCACAGAUUCCCCUAAUCUUUUUGGCCAAAUUUUAGAACAAGUACUAGAAAAAGUUGUCAUCCCAGAACAAAUAUGCCUUCUUCAGUACGUGGAUGACAUUCUUAUACCUGGUGAAGAUACAGAGAAGGUAACUGACUUCUCUACACAUAUUCUUAACCAUCUGCAGUUUGAGGGGCUACAAGUCUCAAAAAGAAAGCUUCAGUAUGUAGAGCCCGAAGUUAAAUAUUUAGGCCACUUGGUAAGUGCAGACAAGUGAAGAAUAGGGCCUGAAUGAAUCGAGGGAAUCAUGUCCCUACCCUUGCCUCAAACUACCAAGAAUGAAAAACUUGCCCAGCAGAAGCCUAACCAUCUCCUGUGGACUUCUGAGGAAGUUUAUCAAGUUGAGGAGCUGAAGAAAAGGCUCAUAGCUACCCCUGCUUUAGCCUUACCCUCCCUAGAAAAGCCAUUCCACCUUUUUGUUAAUGUGGACAGUGGGGUAGCUUUAGGAGGCUGACUCAAGAACACGGAGGCCACCAGCAGCCUGUAGCCUUCCUAUCAAAGGUCUUAGACCCAGUCACUUGUGGAUGGCCUCAAUGCAUCCAGUCUGUCAUGGUUACAGCAAUACUAGUCGAGGAAAGCAGAAAGUUAACCUUUGGAGGAAAAUUGACAGUAAGCAUGCCUCACCGAGUUAGAACUAUCUUAAACCAGAGAGCACGGAGAUGGCUUACUGACUCAAGAAUCUUAAAGUAUGAGGACAUUCUGUUAGAAAAGGAUGAUUUAACAUUGACCACUGAUAAUUCACUCAAUCCAGCAGGUUUCCUAACAGGGAAUCCAAAUCUAAGGAGGGAACACACAUGUUUAGAUUUUUUAGACCAGACAUAGGAGAAACCCCCUUCUGGACUGGACAGCACUUAUUCAUAGAUGGUUCCUCCUGGGUGAUUGAGGAAAAAAGACAAAAUGGGUAUUCAGUGAUUGAUGGAGAAACUCUUACAGAAAUAGAAUCAGGAAAAUUGCCCAACAGUUGGUCUGCUCAAACGUGUGAGCUGUUUGCACUCAGCCAAUCCUUAAAGUAACAGAACCAGGAAGGAACCAUCUAUACAGAUUCCAGGUAUGCCUUUGGAGUGGCCCAUACAUUUGGGAACAUUUGGACUGGACGAGGUCUCAUUAAUAGUAAAGGUCAAGGCCUUGUUCACAAGGAGCUGAUCACUCAAGUAUUGAAUAAUCUUCAGUUGCCGGAAGAAAUAGCUAUUGUCCAUGUUCCCAGCCACCAGAAAAGCCUUUCUUCUGAAAGUCGAAGAAAUAACCUAGCAGAUCAGGUAGCUAAGCAGGCUGCUGUGUCUUCUGAAAUGCGUAUUUUUCACUUAACUCCCUGUCUCCCUCCUCUUACAGUAAUCCCCAUUUUCUCUUCCACUGAAAAAGAAAAACUAAUAAAAAUAGGCGCUAAAGAGAAUUCAGAAGGAAAAUGGGUACUGCCAGACCAGAGAGAAAUGUUGAAUAAACCCCUUAUGAAGGAAGUCUUACCCCAACUACAUCAGGGGAUCCAUUGGGGGCCCCAAGCCAUGUGUGAUGCAGUUCUCAGAGUUUAUGGUUGUAUAGGGACUUUGUAUGUCUGCAAGGGGACAGAGAUGGGGGAGAAAUUAAAAUACGGACUGGGUAUUAGCUGCUAUAAGGAUUUUUGUUAAUUUUGUUAGUGUGAUUAUGUCAUUGUGGAUACAUUAAAAACAGUGCUUUAAUCUGUUAGCAAGAAAACAUUUUACAUGAGGUGAUAAGACACCUGGGGCAGUGCUAAAAUAUUCCUGAUAAUGACAAAAGUGUGUGUGUGUAGAAAAAGCAAGAUGGAAAAAUGUGCACAAUUACUGAAACUGAAGGAUGAAUAUGUGGGUGUUCAUGGUAUUCUUCCUUGACUUCCUGCAAGUUAGAACAUUUCCAUAAAGUAACAAAAAGUUAAAAUAUAUAAUGUAUGUAUGGAGUUCUGAAAUUAUAAAUGGCUUCAAAUACAGAAAAACUUCUUAAAUUCCUCCAUUGCCCAAGGAAUAAAUGUCCAGUGGUAAAAAAUUCAGGGAGAUAGGCAAGGAUGAUGUCUUCAUCUAUUUGUUCUGCUAUAACAAAAAUACCUGAGACUGGGUAAUUUUAAAAGGACAUAAAUUUAUUUCACAUACUUCUGGAGGCUGGGAAGUCCAAGAUCAAGCCACUGGCUUGUUUGGUGUCUUGCAAAGGCUGCUCUAAGCAUCCACGAUGGCGCCUUGUUGCUGAGUUCUCUGGAGAGGAGGAACCCUGUGUCCUCACAUGGUGAAAGUCAAGAGAGCCAAAUGCUGCACAAAGCCUCUUUCAUAAGGGCCUUAAUCCCAUUCAUGAGGGAGCACCCUUUUGACCAAUCACCUCUUAAAGGUCCCACCUCUUAAUGUUAUCACUAUCAGUUUAAAUACCUGAAUUUUUGAGGGGACACAUUCAAACCACAGCAGAGAAGGACUCAUGGGAGAAGAGACUGUCACCUGCCUGAUUCAGACCCAUGGUUUUCUGUUUGCCCAACCAUCUACUUGGGACUCUACCUGAAUUCAUUCUUAUUGGCCAGGUCUUCACUUCUUGCCAGCAGCACAGCAGGAGGACAAAGCAGAGGGUCCCGUCUCCUUGGCUCACUGCUGUGCUCCCUCCAGCUGAGGGAGAAGGACCUUAUAAAAGUCUUAAGUGUCCCAGCCUUGGUCUCCAGGACAGUGUGGAAUGUCAGGACCUGUGACAUCAUGACCAGGAAGGGAGCUGCUGGCAUCUUGCCUGGGCUGAGCAGAGUUUCUAUCCAGUCUAUGACUGGGUAGGAGGGAGGAGGUUGGUGGGAGUCUUAAGGUAACAGAGAUCCUCUCUCCCAUUGCUUUUUAUGGUGACUUCCUCCAUCCUGAGGACUCUGAAGACUGAAGGGGUAGACACUAAUUAGAACUCUAAGUGCCAGUAGCCAAAAGCCAACAAAAUCUGCUCCCAUGGAAAGAGGUGUAUUUGAAGGAUGCUGGAGAGGUCAUUGAGUUACAGAGCAAGUGCCAGAACCAACAGAUCCAGAGGGUCUAAUCACCUCUUAAAGGCCCCUUGAGGAACAGAGCCUUGAAGAACAGAGGCCCGUGGCCCCAUGUCCCUUUCCACUCUCUCCCACCCUCAAAGUUCCAGGGUGGUGAAGAACAGGAGACAGAUGACCCAGGUUUCAGCAUCCUUUCCCUCAAACCUUCUUUCUCAGCAUCAGUCCCAAUCUCCCCUUGGCAGUGAGACUUUCAUCACAAGAGGAGAACAUGGCUGCAUUUCCAUGUUAUCAUCCUCCCAGCUUGAUUUCCUAGACUUUCUAGAGCUUUCUUCAUCAGCACAGUGACAAACCCCAAAGGAGUCACUCUGGUUGACCCCCCUGGAUCCUAUCUCACCCCUGGACUGACUCCUAUGUCCAGGGCUCAGAGUGGGGCACCUGGUUUAGACUGGGCCAGGAGUGGGGUCCCGGGUGAACAGCCCUCAAAUCUCAGCUCCAUGGUAGAGAGGGAGAAAGAAGUGGUCCUGAAUGUACAACCGUGCCUCCUGAGACCAGAGAAAUACUGAAUGUUGCUGUGGAGAAGUCUGAGGCCAAUGUGAUUACCGUUCUCUGCUGUGUGAGAUUUACUUUGCUGUUUGAACACGUGAAGUAUUAUUUCCUUAUCUUGAAGUUCAAUAGCAUAAUUAGGAUUUAUCUUGAUGUUUUUAUUCCCCAUUAAGUUUCACAGAAAAAAAGGUAUGUUUGAUAUGCAAAUUUAAACUUUUAGUUUCAAGAACUUCUCUUAUCUUAAUCUUUGCAUGUACCAUCAGGUAUCUGUUUGGUUCUUGACUCAGGGACACUGGUUUUUCUUAUAUUGGACUUUCAUUGUCUGUCUUCAAUGUCUAAUAGCUUUUCACUGACUAAUGUUACUCCUUUGUCUUUUUCACUUCUAUUCAUUUUGUUUUUGUCCAUGCAAGUCAUUUAAUUUCUAGAAAUACCUAUAUUAUUUCUUGUUUCUAUUCUCUAUUGUAAUAUUGUUAGAUCCUCAAUUUAAUUAUGCCCCUCUAUAUCAAUUCUAUUGUGUUUUGUUCAUCUUUGGGCUUUUUUGUAAUGUGUCAGUUUUUCCAUCCCAUGAAGAAUUGAGAGGACUUUCCUCUGUCUUUUGUAUUGUGUUUCCUCUGUGUUGUUGUUUUGGUUGGCCUUUUGCCUGGUAUUCUUUUUCUUUGAUUGCUAUUGUUUUAAUAAGUUUGUGCUAUUCCGUGUAUUUCUUUUCACUUUGCUUGUAUUUGGGCAUGUCUCUCAGAUGUUAUUAUGAUACACAGUGAAUGACCAUUUGGUCCUCUUCCAAUCUUCUUUAAGUCAUAUUUGUUUUCUCCUCACAUUCCUGUACCCUAUUCUAAGCAAGAGUUUGAGGACUGGGUUGUGUAGGCUGCCUCAUUUUCUAUGGCCUAAAGAAAUGGAGUUGGGGAAAGAGGGUGGAACAAAGAAGGUGCGGUAAUAAUGUCACAUUUUUUGAAUUUCUAAGUUCAUAGAACAAAUUUCUGCUCCCGAAAAACAUGAUAAGAAAAAAUAGAGGUUUCAAACCACUGGGAGGAGAUGAGAUCAUUAGACCGUUCAUCUUUAUGUAACCAGACUCCUCAGUUAAAGGUCAUUUUCAAAGCACACCUGCACUUGUUUUUUUCUUAUGAAAAUAUCCUGUAUAUCCUUAAUUUGGCAAUAUAAAUGUGACCAAUUGUUUUAAAAACAGAAGUGAUGCUGGAUAUUAAAAUGUAAACUGUUUUCUAAAUGAAAAACUUAAAGGAAUGUAAUUAGAGAAGUAUAAACAGUGGUUAAUAUGCUGCUUCUUGAAAAGACAUAUUACAACUUACAGUCUUUCUUCAUAAGUGUAUGUUGUUACUGUUUAAUCAGGAGUGUGAUUGUAUUCAGCUGUUAAGCAAUCCUAUUAGCUGGGAAAUUGCAUUAUUAUUUGCUGGUCUGUUUAUGUUAUAUUGUUGUUGGCACUCUAAGUUUCUCUUUUUUCUCCAAGCCUUUCUUACUCUGGUCUCUGUAAUCUGUAUAAUUGUCUUUUUUAACUUUUAUCUUUAGAAAAUAUUGAAUAGAGAUACUGGGAGUGAUUAACUGUGUCAGAAUCACAAAGUUCUAGUGCUUUUCAGAUUAAUCCUGGAGACAUUAUGUUGCUGUUUUAAAAGACAGAAGGACCUAGAUCCAUCAUGGAGUGCCACAGCAGGGUUGUGGCCAAUGGUCCUUCCUGCCUAGGGAGAAUCCACAAAUGGUAUCUAGGAAGACCUGCUGCUGACCAGACCAAGGCCACUUCAGUGCAUGACAUCUUCUUGGACUCAUCAACCUUGACCUCAAUGGUCAGAGAUCUCUCUACUAGUAAUUCUAAGUGUUGGCAACAAAAAUGAAGAGAGCAAAAUAGGGAGUGCUCUCUAUUCUGGGGAAGCAACAGUGGAAGAUUUGCCUGAGUAAGAAAAUCUCCUAAAAGUUUUCUGUGUCCAUCUAAACAUUCAUACAUUCAUACAUACUUCAUUCCUUUGUUCAUUCAUUUAUUUUCCUUGUCUUCUCAUAGAAUAUGUUUUCUGAGAUCAGGUUACUAUGUUGCUGUUACAGGAAAUCGGAUUAAUUUUAAAUUUCUAUAUGCAAUAAAACAAAAGCCUUUGACAUCUCCCUUUUAUUUUCAACAGUUAAUGAGUUUAGAAGCUCAUUGAUACGGUUUGGCUGUGUCCCCACCAAAAUCUCAUAUUGAAUUCCCACGUGUUGUGGGAGGGACUCAGUGGGAGGUAAUCGAAUCAUGGGGGCAGGUCUUUCCCAUGCUGUUCUUGUGGUAGUGAAUAAGUCUCAUGAGAUCUAAUGGUUUUAUAAAGGGGCGUUUCCCUGCAUGAGCUCUCUCUCUUUGCCUGUCACCAGCCAUGUAAGACAGGACUUGCUCCUCCUUGCCUUCCACCAUCAUUGUGAGGCCUCCCAAGCCACAUGGAACUGUGAGUCCAUUAAACCUCUUUUUGUGUAUAAAUUACCCAGCUCUGGUAUGUCUUUAUCAGUAGCAUGAAAAUGGACUCAUACACUCAGUUUUAAAACAAGUUACAUGAAGUUGCAGAGCUCUUUAAGAAAGCCAUGACUUGCCCAGACAAAUCAGUACUAGUGUGUUAACUGAACUCAAUUUGAUUUUUCUGGGCUUUGCUUUGUAUUGGCCCCUUCUUGUUAAAUAAAAAUAAGAAAUUAAAUAAAAAUGUUAACAAAUAGUUUUGACAAAACUGAAUAUAAUACACAAAACAUUGUGAUGCAGCUUAAAAUUUAAAAAGAAAAAAAGAACAGCUUCAAGAGAAUUAAGUACUAAUUAAGUACUAAGAGAGCAAUCAUCAGAGCUAGAUACAAAACAUCUAAUAUCUUUUGAGAAACAUUCCUUAUGUUACCCAAUUCUUCCUUACACAUCUUACUGGCUAAUUGAGAAAGCAAUGCAUUAAAAUCACAUUGAAAUGAAUUAAUAUGAUAACUGGAAGCAAUGAGAGGUAACUGAGACAUAAUUGCAAAUGCAGAAUUUUUUUCAAUUUGAAAUUGAACAUUUAACAACCAAUUUGGAAUUUUCUAUUUUUGAAAAUCCAGUAGCUCUUGGAGUGAAUAGACCAAAUGACUCCAUUUUAAUAGGUCUCAUCAUUGAUCUCUGCUUAUGAAAUUUGCUUCAUUGCCUUUGUGUACCUGAGACUGAAAUGCAGAGCUGUUCUGGAGCCUCCAGGUAGUCCAGGAUUUCAGUGCAAACUUGUCUUACACAAAGAGGUCUGUAAAAAUAAUCUGGCUGCUAUGAUUUGAAUGUCCUCUCCAAAACUCAUGUUAAAGUUUAAUUGUCUUUGUGAUGGUAUUAAGAGAUGGGACCUUUAAGAGUUAAUUAGGUCAUGAGGGCUCUGCCUUCCUGAAUAAGUUAAUGCCAUUAUCAUAGGAGUAAGUUUGUUAUCUCGGGAAUUCAGCCCCCUUUCUCUCUGUGUCUUGCACCUGCCUCACCAUGUGAUGCCUUCUGCCAUGUUAGGAUGUAGCAAGAAGGCCCUCACCACCUGUGGCCGUACAGUCUUGGACCUUCCAGCCUACAGGACCCUGAGACACACAAAUCUCUCUUCUUUAUAAAUUACCUAGUCUAUAGUAUUCUAUUACAGCAGCAAAAACAGACUAAGACACUGGUCUUUUACUUUUGAUUUUGUUUCUAUUGAUUUUUACUAGGUACAUCUAAUUUCACCUCUUGAAGAUGGCUGACAUGGUCACUGAACUGAAGCUUUGUGGUGAAGAAACUAUUAAGCAAAUGGGGAGGAAGAGCCAUACAAUUUCACUUUAGUGAGGAGCUAAGAACUAAUUUUAUUCCAAAAUCAAACUCAUGCCAAAAACGGGCCAAUGCAAUCAUUUAGGGAUAAAGAACCUAGAGUUUCAGGCAUGAGUGGAAAUGUGCUGAGGGGUCCAGAACAUGCCACUCCAAAAAAACCCUCCUUGGCAUAAGGAUUGUUUUGAGCUGAAGGCAAUUGAGAAUCAACAGAUGCAGGAAAAAUUCUCUACCCUUUCUUUUGUGCCUAAAAGCAAUACAUAAACUUGUCUUUGUGAAAAUGACAUGAGUUUUUCCCUCUCCUGAACCAGGAUGAAGAGAGCUACCCUUAUCACCACAUAUGGAGAGCCAGCACCAAGAUGAGUCAGUAUAAAAAGACCUUACUAAAAUAACCCUUACUUUCAGUAGUUUCCUGAUAUAUUUGCUAGUCACUUUCCCACAAGUUAUCACCCCUAGAAGCCUAAAACCCUUCUCCUUUGUCUAGUCACUUCUUUAAAAUUUAUUGCCUUUUGUUAAAAUGGUAUGUAAUCUCUUAAGCCUAACUGCUUCUUUGUUUUUUUUUAUUUUUUUACUUCUUUUUUUUUAUGAAGCCCUUGUGCACACAAAAUUAAAAAUAUUAAUACUAUUUUUAUGCCUUUUCUCCUGUUAAUCUGACUUUUGUCAGUUUUGUUCACAGACUCCAGCCACUGAUCAAAAGAGGGUGGAGGAAAUGUUUUCCAACCCUACAAUGCACACUGUAUCUCUGUGCAGCAUACACCUCUGUACGACAAUUUCCCUUGUUGUUUGCCUGAAGACACAUGAGCUGCAACUCUGAAUCGGGAAAUAGAACUUCAAUCACUUUCGUGGAGCAAUUGGGGAAUGAAACAACCUUGCAUGCUCCUCUGAGGAGUAUGCCAUGAGAGCUCAGAGGCUACUAUUAUUGGCUGAACAUUGGUGUCAAAAUCUUGAUUGAUGUCCAAAUGCUUCUGGUCUCAUCCUAGACUUGUGAGGUGUGAUCUCCAUAGGUCUAUUCCCAUCCCUUUCCCCUCCACCACGCCUAGUCCCACAUUCUUUUCUGCAUGCAGUGUGCUCUGCUCUAUUGAUCACCUUAACCCAGCUGUGCGCACUCUUCCACUUGUCCUGAAAACAGCACACCCACGUAGCCUUCUUCGGUGAUGUCUGGGCCAUGUGUUGGUGUUGUGCACACUCUUAUUAUGAUCAUUUGAACUCUUAUAACACAUUGUUUAACACAUGUGAAAACGUAAGACAAACUUGCAGGUUUCAGUUAUUUAAAGAUAAACCACGAUAUAAAUGUUCAUAUCUAUUCAAUAUAUUUAAGAUAAGCACUUCAAAUUCUCAUUUAAAUAUCUUAGUCUUGCUUCAUCUAUAAAGUCAUAACUUUAUUAGUUAAAAUGCUUAUUUGGAUAAUUUCAGACUUUCAAAAAGGUUGUGAAAAUUGUACAAAGAUUUUCUAAAUACUCUUCACUUAGAUUCCUGAAAUAUUCCUACAUUAGCAUUCUCUCUCUCUCCUCUCCUCUCUGUCUCUCCUCUCCUCUCUUGUCUGUCCUCUCUCUCUCUCUCAAGGUUCUACAAUUACUGAUCCUGACACUUAGGAUGUGAGUUUAGGUAGAGAUUUGGGAAGUUCAAGAUUGCUCAUCAUUUUAUCUGGUAAUGUCUUUUGCUCAAGUGACACCUUUUACUUCAACUGCUAUUGUUUGCCUCACUAGUUUCACUUGUGGGAUUUUUCAAAAAUGCAUCAUGAUUGAUAGAGUUAAAAUUAAUCUUUCUUGAUGUAAAGCAUAUUGUGUUCAUUGCUGUGGGCCUGCUAUGUUUAGUAUUGCAAUGCCAGUGGGUUUAUAUCACCUACCAGUUUAUCUUGUUAUAACUCAUCUGACUGCUUUAUCUCUGUGAGGUAGCUGUUUAGAGCUUGGGUUCUGAAGUCAGAUGAUUUGAGUCUGACUCUUGGCUUUAGUUCCUGAAUCCUGGACAAAUACCUUCACCUCCCUGGGCCUUCCCUUCCACAUCUUCCAGAUGUGCACAUGGUAGUGCUUAUCUCAUAGGAUUUUGUGUAUGUGUGAGGAUUGAGUCAGACAAAUAGGAAGUGUUCAGUAUGUUGUCCAUUGUUACAUUAAUCUAAAAAGAACAUUGGAUAACAUUUGAAUAUCUUCUGUGCCUAAAAUGUCUAUAGCCUUUCUCUUAUUUAUUUGUAAUUCUCUGCUGUUUGAGUUUCUGACAGGCUCUAUAUUUCUAAGCUUUUAUUUAGUCUUGAUUAAUUUUAGUGAAGUUUUUCUUCAAUUUAGUCAAAAUAAUGUAUUUACCAUAGGAAGUUAAUAGUUAAAGAUAAUUGUUAUGUUUGAUCUUUACGUAAUUAAAACUUGAGAAUUUUAUCCUUUCAGUUCCUAUGUAGGUUAGUUUUUCCUCAAUAUGGCUAAUGUGGGUGGUAUCUUGGAUUGAAAUAUCUUAUUUCCUCAAGUGUACAAUCCAUUUUAAAUAGCAAUUUGUGUGGUUGGUAACCAUUAACUUGAUAGAAACGUUAGGUCUGAAUCUGUCUCUACAAAAUUCAUGUGUUUGGAACUUAAUUUCCAGUGGGGUAGUGUAUUAACUCAUUUUCAUAGUGCUAUGAGGAAAUACCCAAGACUGGGUAAUUUAUAAAGAAAAAGAGGUUUAAUGGACUCACAGUUCCACAUUGCUGGGGAGGCCUCACAAUCAUUGUGGAGUGUAAAGGAGGAGCAAAGGCACAUCUUACAUGGUGGCAGGCAAGCGAGCGUGUGGAGGGGAACUGCCCUUUAUAAAACCAGCAGAUCUCAUGAGACUUAUUCACUAUCACGAGAACAGCAUGGGAAAAACUCAACCCUAUGAUUGAAUUACCUCCCACCAGGUCCCUCCCAUGACACGUGGGGAUUAUGGGAGCUAAAAUUCAAGGCGAGAUUUGGGUAGGGACACAGCAAAAACAUAUCUGGUAGUAUUAAGAGGUGGGAUCUUUAGGAGGUGAUUAAGUCACGAGCAUGGAGCUCUUAAGAAUGGAAUUAGUGACCUUACAAAAGAUGUGUGAGGGAGCUGUUUGCUGCUUCCACCUCUUCUGCCAGGUGAGGAUGCAGCAACAGGAAAACAUGUUGGAAGCAGAGAGAAGUCCUCACCAGACACUGAAUCUGCCAAAACCUUGAUCUUGAACUUCCCAGCCUCCAGAACUGUUCAAAAUAAAUUUCUGUUCUUUCUAAAUUAUCCAGUCUGUGGCAUUCUGUUAUAGCAGCAGGAAUGGACUAAGACAAUUUUAUUGAACAUCUAUCUAAAGAAAUGCUACUUCCUUUACUCAAAAAUAAAACAUGAAGUUUCUGCGGGUCAGGAAGACCUCUUAGACCAAGUCAUUGGUCUGACUAUGAGAUUCAACUUCCAGGAUCCUUUUCUGAGUCUUGCUUCUCUCUCUCUGCUAAAUUUAAGCGCUCCUGUUCACCGUGGAGUCACUAUGUUUAAGUAGAGCCCUGCGGCUCUCACACUGCAUGUCUGUUUGGAUGCUCUUGGGGGCCUUGCAGGAGUUUUAAUGUGGACUGAUGUAGGCAUGAGGAUUCUCAGAGCCCCAUGGUAUGUUUGCCGUGCAGUGAAACUUGAGGACCACGGCCUACCCAACCUCUGAUUCUCUGCAGCAACCCCCAGGGUCACGUGGGGACCUGCAAAGUUUGUUCUAAAAUUGAGGUGAUGAGAGGGGGCUGAGUUCGGAGUGCUACCUCCUUCCACACCAGCUCUACACACUCAUCUCCCCUCCACACUCACACUCCUCUGUGCAGUAGUGCAGGCUCCAAGAAAUUCCCUUAGAAAGAACUCCGCUUAACUUUGCUCUAUACAGCAUUUCCAAACUUAAUAUCAAAUUAGUGCUGUGGUAAUACGUGGGCUUAUUUUAUUAACACAUUAAAUAAGGAUUAGUGGCUAUUUCAAAACACCUGCAACAGCUUAACAUGUGAAAUAUAUGGUUUCUGUUGGUGACAAAGGUACGGGUACCGUGGUUUGUUAGUUGCAUUUAUAAUUAAAGGAAGAGCUAAAUUUCAAAUAAAAAUUACUGAAAAUAAACAUGAGAUUAUUUUUUAUCCCAAAUUCACAGACCCCCUCCCAACCCCACCUUCCUGCCCCAUGCUGCACUCUCUGUCCAUGGGCCCUGGUUAAGGGAAACCCAAGUUGGAACAGGACUCAGGGCUUUUCUUUGACCUGGCUUUUUACAAACACAAGAAAUGCAUGGGCUGGGCAUGGCGCUGGUGUGAGAGCUGCACUUUCUGUAGUGACCCGAAGCCUGAAUUCACCUCGACCUCCAGUUCCUCCUGCCUGGGAGCUGGUGAAUGCCCGUUGGAUCCAUUGGAAGGGGUGAAUCUCCCUCUUGGCUGUCUCUGUCCAGAGCUGUUCCUCAGGGACUUCCUUGCAUUGGGCUCCUGCCAGUCUCAGGGACUUCUCAGUCUCUCUGUUGAUGGCCCAUCAGAGCUCACUCCACUUGUGAAGGCUUUCUCCUGUCAUCCUUCCUGGAAGCUCUUUGAAUACCGACCACGGCUGAGCACUGCACUGCCUCCCUGCCCAGCUGCCACUGGGCUUGGAUGAUUUUCAACCUCAACAUGAAAGGGAAACUUUCAGAUGGCAUCUGGGCUUUGCUAUUUCUGGUGUGGUGUCAUUAAAAGCUGCCUCAGUCUAGCAUCUGUGAUUUCACUUUUUGAUAUAAAAAAGAUAUGAACUGUUAGUGCAAUAGUGCAGAGAAUGAUAUCCAACUUUUAUUUUAUGUAUAUAUUUUAUUUGUGUCUCAUAAAGGGGUUCAGGACACAAUAACCCAAAGCAUGGCACUUUGACAUUUGAGAAAACAGCAGAAGCAGGAAGGUCUCUCUCAUCUUACUCUGCCCUUCUACCCUAAAGCAGGUCAUGAGACCCUCAUUCAAGAAGUACACACCCUAUACCCAAAGAAAAGAAACAUUCUUAUCUCUGAAGACACAGAGACACACAGAGAAUAAUCUGAACACACCAGUCUUACUAAGCCACCCUAUGCCUCCCAGGUUACCACCGUUCGAUCACGCUCCCUUUGUCCAGCCAUACUUCCCCGAGACUGUCUACUCUUCAUCAAACCUAGCAUAAAAAACAUGUUUCCCUAUUUCUUUGGGUCUUUAUUUCUGAAGACUCCCAUGUCACAUACAAAUUAUAUUAAAUACACUUGUCUGCUUUCUUCUUCUUAAUCUGUCUUAUAGGAGCCUCAGGCAUAAACUUAGCAAAGGGUGAGAAAAUAUGUAUCUUUUUAUUCCCUACAUUUGUAUUUAUGUUGAAAUGCAAAGACAGGCAAAAAUAGAGGGCUAUACGAAUUCAGCAGGAUUCUAAAUUAUUAACUUGGAAAGUACUUUCAAACUCUGGAGGAAAGUUUCUAAUUACUUUUGGAAGGAAAGGCAGUAUUAUGUAAGAAAACCACAUUUUCUAUCAUGCAUUACUAAACUAACUACGGAAGUCACAUCCUUAUGCCUUUUUGUAGCUAACAUUGUUUCUGACCCCUAAGAACUGACUGAAGCAAACAGAUCAAGUUGAUUCAGUGUUAGGUAAAUAGGAGGGUGGUGAGAUUUUAAGAUAAACUUACCAGAGCAAGAAAGGAUCAGUGCUUCAAACAGGUGCAAAACAAGUAGGGGAAAGGUAGAAUUAAGCACUCUUGUUUUCAAGUUACAAAACGUUCACAUUUGUUUCUAAUGUUUACUUAAACACUCUAAUACCCUAAAAAAUCGACAUCCUUGAAUUUGAAGGUCAGUAAAAUAUAAAUAACACAGUUACUGCUUUUUGGAAUAUCUCUGUGGAUUCAUUCAGCACUCUUGCUAUUUAUUUAUUUAUUUAUUUAUUUAUUUAUUUAUUUAUUUAUUUAUUUUGAGAUGGAGUCUCGCUCUGUCACCCAGGCUGGAGUGCAGUGGCGCGAUCUUGGCUCACUGCAACCUCCGCCUCCUAUGUUCAAGUGAUUUUCUUGCCUCAGCCUCCCGAGUAGCUGAGACUACAGGCGUGUGCCACCACGCCCAGCUAAUUUUUGUAUUUUUAGUAGAGAUGGGGUUUCACCAGAGUUCCAGGCUGGUCCGGAACUCCUGACCUCGUGAUCCACCCGCCUCGGCCUCCCAAAGUGAUGGGAUUGCAGGUGUGAGCCACCGAGCUUGGCCGCUCUUGCUAUUUUAUUUCUUUUAUUGUUUUGCUAAGAAUUUUAAAAAUUUAAAUGUUUACCAUAUAAAAUAUCUUACUGCCUUGGCAUUUUUAUACCAUACAUCUCAGAAUAUUAUAAUUUGUUAGUUUAUCUUGUAAAUUAUCCCUUGUUAUACAGAGAAUCUGACCAACUCACCCAUUCCCUGGUCCAGUUGCCAUUUUAUUUUCUCUAGGAGAUUUCUCUUUGGAGAAAUAUCCUGGUAGCUGCCUGCAUGAUUGGCAAAUUGAAGUUGGAAUUUUUUAUGGUCUGUAUUAAUUGAUCUGAUUCUUAGAAAUUAAUUCCCUUCCUAAGAAAAGUACCCUCUUCAUUUCUGCUUUUUGCAAGGAGUCAUUGGCAUUUGUCCAACAGUUAAUGAGAAAUUAUUAUAUAAUUACAUUUAACUUUUUUCUCAAUUCUUUCUGUGUUUGACAUAAUGUUGAAAAAGAAACUUGAAUGGAAAAUGCAUCAAUAAAAUAAAAGCAUAUUGCAAUUAUAUUCUGACCUUGGCUUUUCCCUCUAUAUUUCUCACAGGUUAAUUAUAUUCUAAAGCAUACCAAGCUCUUCGUGUUUGCUGCUGGAGUGACUGUGUGUUCCCUUGCCCUUAGAUGAAGAAAUGCUUUCAAAACCUCUGAAGAUGCCUGAAUGGUCUGAGGUUCUAAUGGUUUACAUUUUCUUAUCGUUCAUAUGGAUAAAAAUAUGGCUGCAUUCCAACUGUCAAGAUACAUUUGUGUGUUGCCUAUAAAACUAGCUCUUCUGUUUAAAUGAAGAGCAGAUAAAAAGCAUGUAUGCAAUUAGUCUAAUCGGUUCAAUGGCAAAUUACAGAGCAAAGAUUGUGGUAGGAUAAUCUUUCGGAUUAUUCAUUCUGAGUUUAAAAAUGUUUUGGCUUCUAACAGAAAUCCUUUAAUUAUAUGCUAAAGUGGUGAUAACCUCAUUACAAUAGUUUUGCUUAUUCCUCAAAGCAUUUAUUAGUUUACUUCUUUAAAAUUUGAAAGUGACUAUAAAGUUAGGAAGUAAACAUUUUUGAAAGGAUCAAUUAAUGAUUUAAUAAUUUGAAUUGUUCUCCAAAGAUUAGACAUGGCAAUUGAAAAUAAAUGUAGAAAUCUCUUCCCUAUGCUCAUCAAAAUUUUGACAUGUAUUCAUAUGCCUACUUAUAAAGGAGAUUGGCAGCACAUAAUUGAUACCAUCUAGCCUUUAUUUACAGCAAUCAAACAUAAGACCUUGACAACAUUAACAUGCCCUGUGUGCAUGUGUGCACAUACUCAUAUAUACACACACUCAUAUAUACACACCCACACAUAUAACACCCAUACACACACAUACAUAUACACACAUAUACACACAGAUACAUAAACACACACAUACUCUUCACAGUCUUUCUAGGUGAAUCCCCCAAUCUAAAAUGGCCUCCCUCCACACACCCUGUUUGUUUGUAUUAUCUCUAGCUUGCCUUUGCUUUUUGUCAUUGCCCAGGAGUGCCAAAUGCACCCAAUUUCAUCUUCAUUUGUUUAUGGGCUUGUCUAUCUCCCCACUGGAACAGUGCCCAGGGGGGAUAGUGGCUGUUUCUGAAUUGUUCACUGCUGUAUCCUCAGUACCUAGAUCAAUGCACGGCUCACGAUAGGUGCUAAGAAUUUGUUCAGUGAAUAAGUGACUGUUCCCAUUUGGACUUAAGCUUGUGCAGGGAAAAAAACAGACUGCUUUUCCUCUGCUCUCACCCCACAAUCAACACAGAAGACUUCUAUGGCCAAAUGUGUGCAUUUUUCCCCCCAUAUACUAAGCAAUCAAUCUGUUCCACAGCAGAUGCCAGCUGGGAGUCCUCCAGCCCAGGCAGUGCUGAGUCUACUGGAGAUAGCGUCAGACCCCACGGAAUGAAGGCUCAGUCCCACAAGACUGCCUCCACUUCCGGUGCCAAUCGCAAACCCCAGGUUGUUCACUUGUCUUCUGACUGACCAGCUAUAAAUCAGGGAUCCCAUGGAGCCGCUCAUAGAACUCAGGAAAUCUCUUAUGUUUGCUAGUUUAUUACAAAGGACGUUACAAAGACUGCAGAUGAAGAGGUGCACAGGACAGGGCAUGGGAGAGGGGUGUGCCACCCUCUAGGCACCUCCACGUGUUCAGCUGUUUAGGAAAAUCUCUCAAACCCUGUUCUUCCUCUCCUCUCACACCUCAGCAGCCAUCAAUGCAGAAGACUUUUGUGACCUAAUGUGGUGGGGUUGGUUUCUUCACAUAGCAAUCAGUGGACACCAGCUGGGUCCCUCUAAUUCAGUUCUAACGCUAUCUACUUGGAGGUAACCUCAGAUCCCACAGGUUGAGGCUUAGUCCCCAAGACAGCCCGCCUCAGACACCAGUGGCAAGUCCAGGCUCUGAAACUUCUGACUGACUGGCUGGCUAUAAAUUGGGGAUACCAGGACCCUCUUUGGGUUUAAUUUGUUGGAGUGGCACACAGAACUCAGGGGAACACCAACUUGUGUUUACCAGUUUAUUGUAAAGGAUAUUACAAGGAUACAUCCAUCAAGGAUACAGAUAAUGAGAUGCGGAGUGAGGUAUUGGGGAGGGCACAGAGCUUCCACGCCCUCCGUGGGUAUCACGCUCCAGGACCCUACCCAGGCUCAACCACCCGGAAGCUCUCUGAACCCUGUCCUCUUGAGUUUUUAUGGCAGCUUCAUUAUGUAGGCAUGAUUGAUUAAACCAUUGGCCAUUGAUGAUCAACAUAACCUCCAGCUUCUUCCCCUCCCUGGAGAUUAGGAGGUGGGACUGAAAGUCCUAGCCCUCUAAUUGUGCCUUUGUCUUUCUGGUGGCCAACCAUAUCCUGAAGCUAUCAGUAAACAUCAGCAAACAAAAAGACAGCACUUCGAAGUUUCCAAGGAUUUUAGGAGUUGUAUGCCAGGAAAACUGGCGAAGACCAAAUAUAUGUAUUUCAUAAUAUCAUAGCUUCCUUCUCUGAAUUUCUGUAAGACUUUAGCUUCACAUGUGAAAAUAAGUAAUUCAAAAUCUAAGCUACUGAAACUUUGAAAUAUUUCAAGCCUUAAGGAAAUGUGAUUAUGGGAUCUGAGUCAUGCAAACAGGCAGCUGUAAUGUAGGCAGCUGUAAUCUUUAUUUCUCUGAUUAUAGAUUAGCCUUCUUCCUUACCUACAGUGUUUUGUAAAAUGCUGCAAAUGACUAAAGAGUGACAAGAAAGACCCCUUCCCUCUUCACUACUGAUCUUUGUUAUAGAUUAACAUCCUUCUUACCUUUCUCACACAAAGACUUUGGCUAUCACCUUGCCUAAAAUAAAAUGUUAAAUAUACACUUUUAAAUUGGAAACAAAAACUAGCUGUAAAGAAAAGAAAACGUGUCACAUGGAGAAAAAAGCAAACUGCACUAAUUAAAUUUUUGCAACUAAUAAACCAGACUUGCAUAGAAAAUGUUAUAAUCCUACUAAACUUCUUUGUUUUCUGCCUAAUGAGAAAUAAAAAAUAAAAUCCUAAGCCCCCCAUGUGACUAAACAGACUCCCUCUUAGCCAAGAGGACCCUGAAGAAACCUUAAAAAAAACAGCUCUCAGCCAUGACAGUAUAGGAUGUCAGAUGGGCCUCAUGAUAGACCCUCCUUUGCUAAAUGCCAUUAGACUUUCUUUUCCUAAGCUUUAAACAAAAACCAGCCCUCCUGAAAGACUUACUUGACUGCUGAUUUCAACCAAUCACCUGACACUACCCCGGUUUGGUGGACAGCAACUGAUCAACAUUCCUUCCUGGGUAUCGUGCAGCAGUUUUUGGUGUUACUGACGACCAGCUCUGACGAGAGUCUUCGGUUUCUUAGCUUCAGGCUGGACUUCAACGAGCAUUACAAAGCCAGGGAGCCCAGGCUCCGCGUGUCUCUGGGUACCAGGGGGCGGCGCAGCUCCCACACGUGAAGCUCGCGGUCCUCCCAGGGAGCUGCGGGUGAUGUUCGUUGCACUGCUAGACACGAAAUUCCCAUUGACGUCCUGCAGGAACUGCAUGCUGCAGGUGUCCUGCCCUUCCGCCCACGAGUGCGCCAUGUUUCAGCGGAGCGGCGUGUGGGAGAAGCCACGUCGUGUUGCACACGUCGGAGUUGAAUGCAUUUGUAAAUCACUAAGUCAAGUAGGCUGGCUGCACUGUUCACAUUUGUCUCUAAAAGUCUUCAUCCCCAAAAGAUACCAUAAUUUGCUGAGGCUUCUGAAUCUUAAGUGCUCUAAGUUAUAACUUAUAUUUGUCACUUUAAAAGAACUGUUUGUUUAGCAAAAUCUACAGCAAGGGUAUAUUUAUAAAGUGAUAAUGUCAUUGCUGUUAUUUAGCAUCCUCUUCAGAAACUUUUUUUUGCAAUAUUAUUAGAUUAAACUGAAAUACAUAGAAAAUAUAGAGAGCAUUUUAUUAUCUUGGUAUUCAAGGUUGUAAAGUGUGAAAAUUUUUGUAUCUUACAUAUAUCUAUUCUUUUCUCUCUCCUUUCAAGGUUUACACUUACAGAUUUAAUUUACUAUUCUAGAUAACUUCUAAAAUAGUACAGAACACGAGUAGGAGUGUUGUGGAACAAAAACAUCCUUAAACUUAAAUUUCUUGACGCCACCAGCUGAAGCAGUGUGGCAACAGGAAUGACUAGAAAGUUAACAAAGUAUUUUAUUUUUACAAUUUUGAUGAGCAUUAUAAAGAAAUCGAUUUGGAUAAUGAAGGUUUCUUUUUUCUUUGACUAAUUUUUCCUUGUAAAUAUUUAUAUACUAUUGACCAGAUGCUGGGGAGAACGGUGUCUGUAAAAAGUCACGUCAUAUCAGCUUGCCUUUAUUAUGCUGUAUAAGUGAAAACUUAGAAAACUGAAAGCAAUUAUCUUUCAAAGCAUUGGCUGUUUUUUGAAUAGUCUAUUAAGUGACAGUUCAUUUGCCAGGGGGGCGGGGAUUGACAGGAUUUGAUUUAAUGUAGUACAGCAUAUGAAUUAUUUAAUCAUAAUUAGAAACCAAGAAAUUAGAUUUUGUGUGACUUUCGGUGUAGAAGCAAACGCAAUGUCACCACUCAGGUCUCAGGAGCGGUGCUUUAGUUAUCUGAAUCUGCCUCUGACUCCUUUAGGUGUGGAUUCCCUUUAAAACUAAAGGGGCCAUCAAGAAUCCUGGCCAUGCAGAAAUGAUUCCAUGGCAAAGGCCAGAAAUUCUUAGGAUAAAAACUUAAUUUAAUUUUAGUUUUCAAGUUCAUAAAAUCAGAAAUUUGAAACAGAUUUCUCCACUGCAAGUUGUCCUAGAAAUUAUGGCGUAUUGUGUAUCUCCGAGAGAGGUUUACCAAGGUUAUUAACCAUGCAGCCAGCUUUUAUUUUAUUUUAUUCAGAGAGUUGUUCCAGGGAUUAAUCCUCGGUAGAAACCACCCUAGCAAAGGCCCACCUCGAUUUUAGGGAUUACGACUCCAUUGGAGUGUAGGAGUCACCAGGACUUAGGUCAGAUCUGUGGGCUAUGGAGGGCUUCCGGGAGGUGCGGCCCUGGGGGGUGCCUGCGGGUCUGGAGGGUGGGAGCUGGGAUGGGGUGAGGCCUCUGAGGAGCUGCGUGAGACCCACUCUCCGUCAUUGUGGGUGCACAAUCAGGCCCCUUAGGGAGCCAGGGCCCCAAAACCCAGCAUCAGCCAAGCAUGGAUGACUUGGGGGUUCCACACUGGGGUUGUGCGUAAAGGAGAGCUCCUCUCAGGGGUGGGUGCGCCCGGCCCGGGGGUGCCACGUCUUCACCCAGAAAACGAGGCCGAGUCUGCAGGGGCCCUGCUGCAUGGAUGGAGGUGUGGGUGGUUGGUAGGACCCCAGGC